AUUGUUAAACUCUGUGGUAUUUUUUUUCUUUGUGUGUGUUUUAUGAGUUAGCAUUAUUUUAUAGAAAGAUUUAGGGAUUUAUUAUUUAUAUUAUUUAUAUUACUAUUAUUUAGAUUAUUCUGACAGUCUUCUGUGUCCUCAGACAAGUUAGCAGAGCACAGAUAUAAUACAUUAGUCAGAAUUUUUCCAUUUCCGUGUUCAGAUUAAUCUUAGAAUAAUUUUUACCUGUCUUUGUUAACAGGUAUUAUGCUUUUAACUUCUUAACUCCUAGUACAUGAGUAAAAGGUAGUAAUCAUGACAUAGCCAAAUGACAGAGUGCUUGUAUUUGCCACAAAGCAUGUAGUUCCUUGUAAAUCCUUGAGAAAGGUAAAUUAUCUCUCUCUCUUUUUUUGAGAUGGAGUCUCGCUCCGUCGCCAGGCUGGAGUGC
rnacentral:lncRNA from 1 species